CACUAUCGUUAACUGAAUACAUAGGUUAACGAGGCGAACCGGGGGAACUGAAACAUCUAAGUACCCCGAGGAAAAGAAAUCAACCGAGAUUCCCCCAGUAGCGGCGAGCGAACGGGGAGCAGCCCAGAGUCUGAAUCAGCUUGUGUGUUAGUGGAACGGUCUGGAAAGUCCGACGGUACAGGGUGAUAGUCCCGUACACCAAAAUGCACAGGUUGUGAACUCGAAGAGUAGGGCGGGACACGUGGUAUCCUGUCUGAAUAUGGGGGGACCAUCCUCCAAGGCUAAAUACUCCUGACUGACCGAUAGUGAACCAGUACCGUGAGGGAAAGGCGAAAAGAACCCCGGCGAGGGGAGUGAAAAAGAACCUGAAACCGUGUACGUACAAGCAGUGGGAGCACCUUCGGGUGUGACUGCGUACCUUUUGUAUAAUGGGUCAGCGACUUAUAUUCUGUAGCAAGGUUAACCGUAUAGGGGAGCCGCAGGGAAACCGAGUCUUAACUGGGCGUUAAGUUGCAGGGUAUAGACCCGAAACCCGGUGAUCUAGCCAUGGGCAGGUUGAAGGUUGGGUAACACUAACUGGAGGACCGAACCGACUAAUGUUGAAAAAUUAGCGGAUGACUUGUGGCUGGGGGUGAAAGGCCAAUCAAACCGGGAGAUAGCUGGUUCUCCCCGAAAGCUAUUUAGGUAGCGCCUCGUGAACUCAUCUUCGGGGGUAGAGCACUGUUUCGGCUAGGGGGUCAUCCCGACUUACCAACCCGAUGCAAACUACGAAUACCGAAGAAUGUUAUCACGGGAGACACACGGCGGGUGCUAACGUCCGUCGUGAAGAGGGAAACAACCCAGACCGCCAGCUAAGGUCCCAAAGUCAUGGUUAAGUGGGAAACGAUGUGGGAAGGCACAGACAGCCAGGAUGUUGGCUUAGAAGCAGCCAUCAUUUAAAGAAAGCGUAAUAGCUCACUGGUCGAGUCGGCCUGCGCGGAAGAUGUAACGGGGCUAAACCAUGCACCGAAGCUGCGGCAGCGACACUAUGUGUUGUUGGGUAGGGGAGCGUUCUGUAAGCCUGCGAAGGUGACCUGUGAGGGUUGCUGGAGGUAUCAGAAGUGCGAAUGCUGACAUAAGUAACGAUAAAGCGGGUGAAAAGCCCGCUCGCCGGAAGACCAAGGGUUCCUGUCCAACGUUAAUCGGGGCAGGGUGAGUCGACCCCUAAGGCGAGGCCGAAAGGCGUAGUCGAUGGGAAACAGGUUAAUAUUCCUGUACUUGGUGUUACUGCGAAGGGGGGACGGAGAAGGCUAUGUUAGCCGGGCGACGGUUGUCCCGGUUUAAGCAUGUAGGCUGGUUAUCCAGGCAAAUCCGGAUAAUCAAGGCUGAGGUGUGAUGACGAGGCACUACGGUGCUGAAGUAACAAAUGCCCUGCUUCCAGGAAAAGCCUCUAAGCAUCAGGUAACAUCAAAUCGUACCCCAAACCGACACAGGUGGUCAGGUAGAGAAUACCAAGGCGCUUGAGAGAACUCGGGUGAAGGAACUAGGCAAAAUGGUGCCGUAACUUCGGGAGAAGGCACGCUGGUGUGUAGGUGAAGUCCCUGCGGAUGGAGCUGAGACCAGUCGAAGAUACCAGCUGGCUGCAACUGUUUAUUAAAAACACAGCACUGUGCAAACACGAAAGUGGACGUAUACGGUGUGACGCCUGCCCGGUGCCGGAAGGUUAAUUGAUGGGGUUAUCCGUAAGGAGAAGCUCUUGAUCGAAGCCCCGGUAAACGGCGGCCGUAACUAUAACGGUCCUAAGGUAGCGAAAUUCCUUGUCGGGUAAGUUCCGACCUGCACGAAUGGCGUAAUGAUGGCCAGGCUGUCUCCACCCGAGACUCAGUGAAAUUGAACUCGCUGUGAAGAUGCAGUGUACCCGCGGCAAGACGGAAAGACCCCGUGAACCUUUACUAUAGCUUGACACUGAACAUUGAGCCUUGAUGUGUAGGAUAGGUGGGAGGCUUUGAAGCGUGGACGCCAGUCUGCGUGGAGCCAACCUUGAAAUACCACCCUUUAAUGUUUGAUGUUCUAACGU
rnacentral:rRNA from 1 species